rnacentral:rRNA from 1 species
CUCGCCGAUGACUAGUGGACCACUGAUUAAUGCCUCGUGGGUCACCCGCCCAUAGGGGGGGAACAACUUGAAGAAAUCCAUACUAAUACCGCAUAAUACCUUCGGGUUAGGAGGGGGAUCUUCCGACCUCUCACUUAUGGAUGGUCCCCCGUCUGAUUAGCUAGUUGGUAGGGGAAUGGCCUACCCAGGGAUUGAUCACUAGCUGGUCUGGAAGGAUGAUCACUCACACUGGAACUGAAACACCGUCCACACUCCUACGGGAGGCAGCAGUGGGGAAUUUUGCGCAAUGGGCCAAAGCCUGACGCCCCCACGCCGCGUGCGAAAAGAAGGCCUUCGGGUUGUAAACCGCUUUCAACAGGGAAGAAAGAAUGAGAGCUAAUACGUCUCUGCCUUGACGGUACCUGUAGAAGAAGCACCGGCUAAGUUCGUGCCAGCAGCCGCGGUAAUACGAAAGGUGCAAGCGUUGUUCGGAUUUACUGGGCGUAGAGAGAUCGUAUGUGGCUUGUUAAGUCAGAUGUGAAAUCCCGGGGCUCAACCCGCGGAACUGCAUCCGAUACUGGCAUGCUUGAGUUUGAGAGGGGUAAGCGGAAUUCCGUGUGUAGCACUGAAAUGCGUAGAUAUACGCGAGGAACACCUGCACGCGAAAGCGGCUUACUGCACCAAUACUGACACUGAGGAUCGAAUAGCGUGCGUAGCAAACAGGAUUAGCAUACGCUGGUAGUCCACGCUCUAGACGAUGUCAACUAGCCGUUGCGGUAUCGACCCCUGCAGUGGCGCAGCUAACGCGAUAACCUUGACCGCC